UAUCAGGGGUGCUGUCAAACGCUGAGACGGUGGAACCACCGAACCCUUAUACCUGAUUUGGAUAAUACCAACGUAGGGAGAUC
rnacentral:ncRNA from 1 species